UUGUCAUCUUCUGGGGAAGUUGCUUUGAUUUCUGACUCUGAACUCCAUGCCUGGGAGCUGUCAACUGCAUGAGAUAACCUGUAAAGCAGAGAUGACCUCAUCUCUGUCUAACGUGAAUCUCUCAAUUUCUAUUUUUUUCCCUUCCUCUCAAAGACUCUUGUAUCCCAGCUUUGCUUCAGACUGGCUCCGUAGUUGACAAUGGCUUUGACCUCUCACCCUCCUGCUUCCACCUCCAGCAUGCUGUGGUUACAGGUGUCUGCCAUCACAACUGGCUUUGAAGAUGCUACGAAUUUCUCCUCAUUGUUGUAUUCAUCAAAUACUCCCCACUGGAAAUGAGCCCACUCAUGGACAAAGGCCUUCUCUGUGAGAA